CAUCGAAAAUUGACACAGAGGCGGCCAAAAAUGACAUAAUGGUCGCCGAAAAUGACACUUAGACGCAAAAAUGACAUUUGAAAAAUAUUAUAAAAAAUAAACAAGAAAAAACCCUACCACAUCAUUUUCCCCCUCCCCCGCCCCCCAUACCCUAAUUUCCCCUGCCCCCUGCUGCCGCCGCUGACCCUUCCCCCUGAAACCAGUCAGUCCCUUCCCCAUACAGAAACAACGUUGUCUCAUCCCCCACAUAGAAACACUGCCGACCCCUUCCCCUGAACCAGCCGAGGAAAACAUCUUUCACCUUCGAGCGGCGCAGAUGUUGGAGGUGUCGAAGAAGUUGAGGCUCAAGGCCACUGAAGCCAGUGCCAUCUGCACGCUGGUGGAGCUGAUGCUAGAAUCGAGCAUCAGGUAAGGCAGCGACUCAACCUCAUCCCAUCGUCCUUGGUGAAAUUUGAGGGGGGCGAUUGGGGGCGGCGGCGGCGGCGAGUGGGCCGGGGUAGGGAAAAUUAGGGUUGGGAGAUGGGGGAAGGGGAAAGACGAUUGGGGUAGGGGUUUUUGUUUCUUUUUUUUUAAAAUAUUUUUCAUGUCAUUUUAGAGCCCAAGUGUCAUUUUCGGUCGCUUCUGUGUUAUUUUCAAUGUCUUUAUAGGAAAAAACUGAUCACCGGAUAAAUUUGAGAAGAAAAUGAAAGGUUAUGGAUUGUGUGGUCGAUUUUUGAAAAUAGGUACAAUUUCCAAAUUCGAGAAA